rnacentral:pre_miRNA from 1 species
GUGAGAAGAGUAGUAGCGCACUAAACUUACCACUCGUGGAGCAGGUACAGUACAGUUAGAUAAAAGGCGGAAAAAUUGCGCGGGCGCCUUACCGCAACCGCUAGCCUUGUACCUGCUCCACGAGUGGUAACUUUAGUGCGAUACUACUCUUCUCA